rnacentral:rRNA from 1 species
AACGAACGCUGGCGGCAUGCCUAACACAUGCAAGUCGAACGAGACCUUCGGGUCUAGUGGCGCACGGGUGCGUAACGCGUGGGAAUCUGCCCUUGGGUUCGGAAUAACAGUUGGAAACGACUGCUAAUACCGGAUGAUGACGUAAGUCCAAAGAUUUAUCGCCCAAGGAUGAGCCCGCGUAGGAUUAGCUAGUUGGUGAGGUAAAGGCUCACCAAGGCGACGAUCCUUAGCUGGUCUGAGAGGAUGAUCAGCCACACUGGGACUGAGACACGGCCCAGACUCCUACGGGAGGCAGCAGUGGGGAAUAUUGGACAAUGGGCGAGAGCCUGAUCCAGCAAUGCCGCGUGAGUGAUGAAGGCCUUAGGGUUGUAAAGCUCUUUUACCCGGGAUGAUAAUGACAGUACCGGGAGAAUAAGCUCCGGCUAACUCCGU